rnacentral:ncRNA from 2 species
CUAAGCCACGCAUACUUUGGUUCGGCGGGGUGACUCGUCGUUAAAGGGAACGCGGUUCGGGGCAAUACCCCCAAAUCCGCGACUGCCCCCGCAACUGUAAGCGGAGAGCGCAGCCGUCACAAGCCACUGGGGAGCAACCCCGGGAAGGCACGGCCCCGCAAUGACCCGCAAGUCAGGAGACCUGCCAAAGGGAUCACCCGGAU